rnacentral:rRNA from 1 species
CCAAUAGCGUAUAUUAAAGUUGUUGCAGUUAAAAAGCUCGUAGUUGAAUUUCGGGGUCAGUAGGUCGGUCGUGCCACAGGUAUGCACUGGUCUCACUGAUUCCUCCUUCCUGAUGAACCGUAAUGCCAUUAAUUUGGUGUUGCGGGGAGACUGGACUGUUACUUUGAAAAAAUUAGAGUGUUUAAAGCAGGCUAACGCUUGAAUACAUUAGCAUGGAAUAACGGAAUAGGACGUUCGAUCUUAUUUUGUUGGUUUCUAAGAUUGACGUAAUGAUUAAUAGGGAUAGUUGGGGGCAUUAGUAUUCAAUUGUCAGAGGUGAAAUUCUUGGAUUCAUUGAAGACUAACUACUGCGAAAGCAUUUGCCAAGGAUGUUUUCAUUAAUCAAGAACGAAAGUUAGGGGAUCGAAGACGAUCAGAUACCGUCGUAGUCUUAACCAUAAACUAUGCCGACUAGGGAUCGGAUGAUGUUAAUUUUUUAAUGACUCAUUCGGCGCCUUACG